CUCCGACUCACAGCAGGCAAACGCAGCAUGCUGGAGGCAGAGAGGCGACAUCGUGUGUGAGCUCCAGCGGGUCUGACAACACGUUUAAAGUUGCAACAACAAAGAGGGUCAGAGGUUCUGAUGUUCAGUCCGUGAAGUGACACAAGGCCUUCGCUUCCCUGUUGAAGAUCAGGGUGAAAUAUGCCUCCUGUGCCAUUUUUCACACUUGUCACCACAACAGGAUGUCUCUGUGUGCCUCUACAGUGAGUAAUCCUCACAAAUCAGUGUUCACCGGGGAUGAAUAACAGGACACGAGCCACUUUGUAAACAGACACUGAGGAAAAUGCGGAAGGAAAUGCAACAUCUGGACGUUCCUCAGGCUUGUGCAUAGUUGUGAGUAGUGUGAUAUAUGCUCCUCAAAAGGACCCAGUUGUGUAUCCCGCCCCUCUUUUCCAAUCACUCAGCUCCUGCGUGUUGAGGCUGGGACAGGGUGUGUCCCGAGAAACCCUGGAACACAGAGUCAACAUCCAUCUAGAUCAACAAAUCAGGACAUUGCAAUGCCGCACAGAUGAGGCUCAAAGAACCCUCGUAGUGUGAUUCAUGAUGUUUGUUCUUCCUCAUCCAGACUGAGCCGUGAACUGUGGUUCCAGGGCUGGAGGAGCGGCGCGGUGCAGUGGGCGCGCCAGGCUGACGCGUCAGACACGGACCAACGGAAUGAAGAGAACUUAUUGGUCCUCGGCUCGGAGCAGAAGAAAGCUUUCAUUCAGAGAAGCUGUCGAGUAGAAGCCGAUCCAGAUUACUCUGAUGAUGUAAGAAAGACACGCGUGGACGCUGCUGCUCACCCAUCCCUCGUCUCAAUCUCCAGCGACCCCAUAGUGACCAUCCAAUCUCUCUGUGGAUCAUUCAGUUCUGUGGGGGGGGGUGACAUCCCUCAAUAGCUCAGCUGCUUGUGCACGUCUGUCUGCGUGUGUUCUGCGUAGCCUUUACUCAUGCCGACAAGUCAUGACAAGCACUGAUUAUAAACUCUGGCCACUGUGACACAACACAGUCUAUCAUGGAGAUAUGCUGUUUUGUCAGAAAGACACGAACGCUGUCACAAUCAUCAUCCCUUGUCCAACAUCACUCAUGCUUUUCCUCACGUAAUGUCUCAACACACUAUGUUCCUAUCCAUGAAUCACUCACUUCCUUUUUUAUUCUACGCCUAAACACAUUACUUUAUGCACGGGUUGGAAGUUACAUACACCACUGCUAUAAAAGUUUUCAAAUGAUUGUGCAAGGAAUUAUCAUUAUAAUUACCACAUUUGUUUUAUAUUCAUUUUAUAAGAUUAUCAUAUUCAGUUUGAGCCACUGAUGAUGCUCCAGUCCACAUUGUCAAUAUGACAUUCUGAUUUGUGCCUAAGCAACAUUAACAAUGAUUUAAAUUCCUGUUCCCCUUAAUAAGCCAUUAUUUUCAAAUUGGAACAGUCGAGCAAAUGUAACGUAGAACAUUGCAUUCCUGCCAUUCUUCAUAUAACAAUUGAUCUGCACAUGGUUAGAAUUCAUGAACCUUACCUUACCAUCAAAAUAAUAGAAACUCUGGGAUGGAGUUGGCCUUUUAAUACAUAAUGUAGGUCUUUUUUAGCACACGAAUGCUAAUCCUAUAUUCUGAGGUGAAUGAUGUCCUUAAAUUAAGGGUCAAUAGGUCAACAUUGACCAGAUAUACUCUGAAGGUCUUUUUCACAGAUGUAAGCACAGAGGGAAAUACUAAAAUUAAUGGUGGGUGAAUUGUGUUUAGCUGCUCUAGUUUCAUUUUCAUUAUGCAUGCUCCCUUGUGACGUGUGUUUUUUGUCCUGUGUUUUUAAUAAAUUUAAAGGACCUGUAUAUUUAUGCAAGUAUUUCUAUUUAAUGCAAAUUUUGC